GGAUUAGAUACCCUGGUAGUCCACGCUGUAAACGAUGAUCACUGGUUAUUGGCUAAACAUUGUCAGUGACUGAGCGAAAGUAUUAAGUGAUCCACCUGGGGAGUACGGUCGCAAGAUUGAAACUCAAAGGAAUUGACGGGGGCCCGCACAAGCGGUGGAGCAUGUGGUUUAAUUCGAUGAUACGCGAGGAACCUUACCAGGGCUUAAAUGCAGAGCGAAUAUUUUGGAAACAGAAUAGCCUUCGGGCGAUCUGCAAGGUGCUGCAUGGUUGUCGUCAGCUCGUGCCG
rnacentral:rRNA from 1 species